rnacentral:rRNA from 1 species
CGUGUAGGCGGCAGGACAAGUCAGAUGUGAAAGCCCCCGGCUUAACCGGGGAGGUGCAUUUGAAACUGUUUUGCUUGAGUGCGAGAGGGGGUAGUGGAAUUCCCAGUGUAGCGGUGAAAUGCGUAGAUAUUGGGAAGAACACCAGUAGCGAAGGCGGCUACCUGGCUCGCAACUGACGCUAAGGCGCGAAAGCGUGGGGAGCAAACA